rnacentral:siRNA from 1 species
CAUCGAUGAGGUGGUCCCAUGCCA